AACAUGUCUUUUUGAAAAUAAUUUAAAGUCUAAUCUGCCCACUGAUNAAAUUAUUAAAGGGCUGCAGUAUUUUGACUGUACAAAGGUAGCAUAAUCAUUAGUCUCUUAAUUGGUGACUUGUAUGAAAGAUUGGAUGAAAUAUAUACUGUCUCUAUUUAAUUUAUAAAAUUUAAUUUUUUAGUAAAAAAGCUAAAAUGAAUUUAAAAGACGAGAAGACCCUAUAGAGUUUGAUAAUUUAUUUAAUUAUUAUUAAUAUAUAAAUUUUAAAAUUAAAAUUAAAUAAAUUAUUUUGUUGGGGUGAUAGAAAAAUUAAAUUAACUUUUUUUUUAUUUUAUACAUUAAUUUAUGAAUAAAUGAUCCAUUAAUAAUGAUUAAAAGAAAAAAUUACCUUAGGGAUAACAGCGUAAUUUUUUUUUUUAGUUCAAAUAGGAAAAAAAGUUUGCGACCUCGAUGUUGGAUUAAGAUAAAAUUUAAAUGCAAAAGUUUAAAAUUUUGAUCUGUUCGAUCAUUAAAAUCUUA
rnacentral:rRNA from 1 species